rnacentral:misc_RNA from 1 species
GAUGAAGAACGUAGCGAAAUGCGAUACGUAAUGUGAAUUGCAAAUUCAGUGAAUCAUCGAGUCUUUGAACGCACAUUGCGCCCCUUGGUAUUCCAUGGGGCAUGCCUGUUCGAGCGUCAUUUGUACCUUCAAGCUCUGCUUGGUGUUGGGUGUUUGUCUCGCCUCUGCGUGUAGACUCGCCUCAAAACAAUUGGCAGCCGGCGUAUUGAUUUCGGAGCGCAGUACAUCUCGCGCUUUGCACUCAUAACGACGACGUCCAAAAGUACAUUUUUACACUCUUGACCUCGGAUCAGGUAGGGAUACCCGCUGAACUUAAGCAUAUCAAUAAGCGGAGGA